rnacentral:rRNA from 1 species
CUUUCAGAUAGUCGAAUGACUUGGAAAAGUCAGUCAAAGAGGGUAAAAACCCCGUAGACGAAAUGUGGAAGACACCUAGGAGGAUCCUGAGUACGGCGGAACACGAGAAAUUCCGUCGGAAUCCGGGAGGACCAUCUCCCAAGGCUAAAUACUCCCUAGUGACCGAUAGUGAACCAGUACCGUGAGGGAAAGGUGAAAAGCACCCCGGAAGGGGAGUGAAAUAGAACCUGAAACCGUGUGCCUACAACAAGUCAAAGCCCGUUAAUGGGUGAUGGCGUGCCUUUUGUAGAAUGAACCGGCGAGUUACGAUUGCAUGCGAGGUUAAGUUGAAGAGACGGAGCCGCAGCGAAAGCGAGUCUGAAUAGGGCGUUUGAGUAUGUAGUCGUAGACCCGAAACCAUGUGAUCUACCCAUGUCCAGGUUGAAGGUGCGGUAAAACGCACUGGAGGACCGAACCCACGUACGUUGAAAAGUGCGGGGAUGAGGUGUGGGUAGCGGAGAAAUUCCAAACGAACUUGGAGAUAGCUGGUUCUCUCCGAAAUAGCUUUAGGGCUAGCCUCGGAAUUGAGAAUGAUGGAGGUAGAGCACUGUUUGGACUAGGGGCCCAUCUCGGGUUACCGAAUUCAGAUAAACUCCGAAUGCCAUUCAUUCAUAUCCGGGAGUCAGACUGUGAGUGAUAAGAUCCAUAGUCGAAAGGGAAACAGCCCAGACCACCAGCUAAGGUCCCAAAAUAUAUGUUAAGUGGAAAAGGAUGUGGGGUUGCACAGACAACUAGGAUGUUGGCUUAGAAGCAGCCACCAUUUAAAGAGUGCGUAAUAGCUCACUAGUCGAGUGACCCUGCGCCGAAAAUGUACCGGGGCUAAACAUAUUACCGAAGCUGUGGAGUACACCUUUAGGUGUAUUGGUAGGAGAGCGUUCUAAGGGCGUCGAAGGCAGAUCGUGAGGACUGCUGGAGCGCUUAGAAGUGAGAAUGCCGGUAUGAGUAGCGAAAGACAGGUGAGAAUCCUGUCCACCGAAUGACUAAGGUUUCCUGGGGAAGGCUCGUCCGCCCAGGGUUAGUCGGGACCUAAGCCGAGGCCGAUAGGCGUAGGCGAUGGAUAACAGGUUGAUAUUCCUGUACCCGUUGUUUUUGUUUGAGCAAUGGAGGGACGCAGG